CCAAUCCAUUGCAAGCCCCGUGCUAGAAAAAAUCAAAACGCAAUUACUCGUUUCAGCGGAAGAAAAAAAAAAUGUUAUGAACAUACUAAUCUACUCUCUUUCAGUACAGGAAAAAUACGUGAUCCAGAGUGUUCAGGUCUUAUAUGAGUAGCCGACUGCCGCCAUGUUCUUCCAAGUUCCAACGCGAGCCGCGAUCCACUGACUAGUGCGAAACUGCAAACACAACAGGCAAGCUCGUCACUGCUGGCUAUGGGCAACUGGAUAUCGUCGGCACCACCACCACCACCACCACCGCCACAGCUACCACGCCCGCAACACCCUGCAAAUGAUACGACUGUUGAUGAAGAAGAUGGAGGCUUGACUUUCAAACGGGGUAGGCAGAACCCCAGAAUCUAAGCGGUGAUACACCCAGAGUCCCAGACUCGAUCUGAUCUUCCUUUACUAUAUAGUUAGGUUUUGCCGGUAUUGUUUCCCCACACUGAUUAGCCAUGUCUUUCAAUAUGCAUUAUAGUUUGAAAAGACGAAAAAUUCCGUUUCACAUAAUAGAUUGACAGACAAAAUUAUAUUAGCGUACACCUGUUACUGCUGCGGGAGGGGGGAAAAGUUGAUCUGAUAUUUCUUUCCUUGAUCUAGAAGCAAGUGGAUAUUCUUGUGACUGAUCAACAAUAUAUAGGUUAUCUUUUUUUCCCUCAACCUAUGUUACUGACACACGAGCUCGUUUCUAUAUCAACAUUGUCCGGACAGCAGAGGCCAAGAUUUGUCCUUGUUAUACAAAAUUAAUCUCUCUAACAAGAUUAUGGUGAAGAACCAGAUUGCCUUACAUAUACAUGUAAUAACAUUAACGUAAUGAUUACCGGCCAGGGAUACACACUGAGACUAGUUGAUUUGGUCAAAUUCUCCUUUACGAAGAGAAGAGAAGUGCCGGUUCCCAUGUGACCACGAAAGCAAUGGCAUUAUUUACAGCUGGAGCUCGCAUGAUAUGAAAAAACAAAUAUGUGACCUUGACUCUAUAUGUCAUUCGUUUGGUGAACAGUUACAAUUAAGUUUUUGUUUUCAGAGGCAGUAUAUUUCCUUUUCGUCUUCUGUAAAUGUACAUUAUAUUAAGAUCACUAUAAACUACAGAAGAGUCCCUGAUGUUUCUUCAAAAAAUGUACCCGUCCUUGCCGUUGUAUAGUGCAUAUGAGAUUUUGAAAAAGUCAAAUGUUGUAAAAUUUGAACACGGCUAUUGAGAAAUGUAUCGAUAUCUACAAUA